GAUGAACGCUGGCGGCGUGCCUAAUACAUGCAAGUCGAGCGAAUGGAUUAAGAGCUUGCUCUUAUGAAGUUAGCGGCGGACGGGUGAGUAACACGUGGGUAACCUGCCCAUAAGACUGGGAUAACUCCGGGAAACCGGGGCUAAUACCGGAUAACAUUUUGAACCGCAUGGUUCGAAAUUGAAAGGCGGCCUCGGCUGUCACUUAUGGAUGGACCCGCGUCGCAUUAGCUAGUUGGUGAGGUAAUGGCUCACCAAGGCAACGAUGCGUAGCCGACCUGAGAGGGUGAUCGGCCACACUGGGACUGAGACACGGCCCAGACUCCUACGGGAGGCAGCAGUGGGGAAUCUUCCGCAAUGGACGAAAGUCUGACGGAGCAACGCCGCGUGAGUGAUGAAGGCUUUCGGGUCGUAAAACUCUGUUGUUAGGGAAGAACAAGUGCUAGUUGAAUAAGCUGGCACCUUGACGGUACCUAACCAGAAAGCCACGGCUAACUACGUGCCAGCAGCCGCCGUAA
rnacentral:rRNA from 1 species